GAUGAACGCUGGCGGCGUGCCUAAUACAUGCAAGUCGAGCGAACAGACGAGGAGCUUGCUCCUCUGACGUUAGCGGCGGACGGGUGAGUAACACGUGGAUAACCUACCUAUAAGACUGGGAUAACUUCGGGAAACCGGAGCUAAUACCGGAUAAUAUAUUGAACCGCAUGGUUCAAUAGUGAAAGACGGUUUUGCUGUCACUUAUAGAUGGAUCCGCGCCGCAUUAGCUAGUUGGUAAGGUAACGGCUUACCAAGGCAACGAUGCGUAGCCGACCUGAGAGGGUGAUCGGCCACACUGGAACUGAGACACGGCCCAGACUCCUACGGGAGGCAGCAGUAGGGAAUCUUCCGCAAUGGGCGAAAGCUUGACGGAGCAACGCCGCGUGAGUGAUGAAGGUCUUCGGAUCGUAAAACUCUGUUAUUAGGGAAGAACAAAUGUGUAAGUAACUAUGCACGUCUUGACGGUACCUAAUCAGAAAGCCACGGCUAACUACGUG
rnacentral:rRNA from 1 species